GAAUGGUUGGACUUUUGUCUGUAGGAUUUUCUUAGAGUGGAAAAUGUUAGUCAAUGCCCACCUGGUAUCAGGCACUGGGCUAAUGGUGUACAAGGUAAUGUCUCUACCCCCAGGAAGCUGCAUGCUGGGAGAGGAGACGGAUGGAGUCCAGCCUGGAGAGUCGCGGUUGCUGAUCGUGGUGCUUGAGUAGAGCCGUGGUUGGUGACAGCAUGACGAGCGAGGUGAUAGAAGACGAGAAGCAAUUCUAUUCCAAGGCCAAGACCUACUGGAAACAAAUCCCACCCACGGUGGACGGCAUGCUUGGGGGGAAGGCCCGAACAAGACAGGAACGUCCUGUGCCCUGGACUGUGGAGCUGGCAUUGGGAGGAUCACCAAGCGGCUGCUCCUGCCGCUGUUCAGAGAGGUGGAUAUGGUCGACAUAACGGAGGACUUCCUGGUUCAAGCCAAGACCUACCUGGGGGAGGAGGGCAAGAGGGUGAGGAACUACUUCUGUUGUGGGCUCCAGGACUUCACCCCGGAGCCGGACUCUUACGACGUGAUCUGGAUCCAGUGGGUGAUAGGCCACCUCACCGAUCAGCACCUGGCCGAGUUCCUGCGGCGCUGCAAGGGCAGCCUCCGCCCCAA
rnacentral:lncRNA from 10 species